rnacentral:rRNA from 1 species
UACGAAGGGGGCUAGCGUUGCUCGGAAUCACUGGGCGUAAAGCGCACGUAGGCGGAUCGUUAAGUCAGGGGUGAAAUCCUGGAGCUUAACUCCAGAACUGCCUUUGAUACUGGCGACCUUGAGUUCGGGAGAGGUGAGUGGAACUGCGAGUGUAGAGGUGAAAUUCGUAGAUAUUCGCAAGAACACCAGUGGCGAAGGCGGCUCACUGGCCCGAUACUGACGCUGAGGUGCGAAAGCGUGGGGAGCGAACAGG